GGGAAGCUGGGAGCAGCUAGCUUAGAAACCGACCCAUACCUCCUCCCUCCUGGUGUGUUGAUCAAAUUACCGACUCUGCCUGAAUUCACAGCAGAUGAUUCGUAUCACUAUGUCAUAAACGUCGCUUCCCUUUACACCGGAGCAGCAUUAAAAACGUACAAAAGACGAGAUGCUAACCAGUUUUUUUCGUACAUGCUAGGCUACAUGACGGUGCGGUAUUGUUUCCGUGGUUACUGAGACCCCAUAAAGCGAUAUUUGAUAUCCGUCAUGAAUACUUCUAAAGUAAAUGAACGU